UACACUCAGAUGCACAUGUAGUACGUAAUAUUUUGUGUAAGCACGAUCAAAAUAGAACGAAAUGCGCUAAAAAGGCCGAGGAAGUUGACCUUGACGUUGAACUUUUCUCUUUCUCUUAGUAUCGUUCUAGCUCCUGCCGGCAGUUGACAUGGAAUUUGACUGCAAUUGCAUAUUCAACGAGCUUGAGAAAUCUCUGUCAUCAAACAUGUUGUAGUUUGAGAACGACUCAUCAAAGCUGCGGUCCAAUUUGGCUUUCGUCUCUGUGAAAAGUGCUAAACAGCUGUUAUUAUCAAGAUGCGGGAACGAUCAAGCAAGAUCCCAGGUUAACGGAACCUAUGAGGGAUCUUCCAGCAGCAUAAAACAAAACAGUGCAAUGGCCAUACGUCGGUAGUAGUGGCUAAAAAUACUCUUUUUUAGUUGUUGAUUUUUUUUGUUCAAGUUGAUAGACGAGGAGCGAGUACGGAUUUUCGUUAAGCGAAAAGAGUCAAUUUGUAUAUCAAUACGUUAGAGUAAAAAUUUGUCGACAUGUCUUUUUUGUCGAAUCUGAAGAAGGCGUUCCACUUCGGUGGCAACGAUGCCAAGAAGAAAAAGCUUUAUAAUAAUAUAAAAAUGGACGUGAGUCCUGAAGAAUUUUGGGAUAUGAUUGGCGAGCUCGGCGAUGGAGCUUUUGGAAAAGUUUACAAGGCGCAACACAAACAGACGCAUCAGCUGGCAGCCGCUAAAAUGUGCGCGCUCGAGGGCGAGGACGAUCUCAGCGACUUUAUGAUCGAGAUCGACAUAUUGUCCGAGUGCAAGCAUCCGAACGUCGUCGAGCUUCACGAGGCUUACUUUAUCGAGGGCAAACUAUGGAUGCUAAUCGAGUACUGCGACGGUGGCGCAGUAGAUUCAAUUAUGGUCGAACUUGAAAAAGCUCUAACCGAGCCUCAGAUAGCUUACGUUUGUCAGCACAUGGCCAAAGGACUGGCCUUUUUACACAAAUCCAAAGUCAUACACAGAGAUUUAAAGGCUGGCAAUGUACUUCUCACAAUGGCUGGUGGCGUCAAACUUGCUGACUUCGGAGUGUCGGCGAAAAACAAGCACACGCUUCAGAAGCACGAUACCUUCAUCGGCACUCCUUACUGGAUGGCGCCCGAGGUCGUUCUCUGCGAGACCUUCCGCGACAAUCCCUACGACUUCAAAGUCGACAUCUGGUCAUUAGGCAUAACGCUGAUCGAGUUCGCGCAGAUCGAGCCGCCGAAUCACGAGAUGUCGCCGAUGCGCGUCCUGCUCAAGAUUCAAAAGAGCGACCCGCCGAAACUCGAGCAGCCGAGUCGCUGGAGCAAGGAGUUCAACGAUUUCAUCUCCAAGGCACUUACCAAGGAUCCGCAGAGUAGGCCGACCGCCGAGGAAUUGCUCAAGCAUCCGUUUUUGGCUCGCACGCUCGACUCCAAGCCCAUUCGAGAUUUAUUGCUCGAAUAUAAAGCCGAUGUCGUUGAGGAGGAGCUCGUCGACGAGGACGCUGAGGAGCAGCACCGUGCAUCCCAACUUCCACUGGAUAUGGAUCAUAUGGUGGAUGAUUCUGCAUCUGUACGAAGCGACAAUGACGCUAAAAUUUCAGAGAAAAAUGCUGCCGUUGCAGUGCCAGCUAAUGCGGCGAAGAGGGAAGAAAGCAACAAGAGAGAAAUUAACAGAGAUGGUGAAAGAGACGAGCGUUCUAAGAAACUUAAGAAAACUGAGUCCAAAGAGAAUAUUCCAGUUACUGUUGAAAAGAAACCCGCACCAAAACCACCGACGCAACCGUCAGAGCAAGUCGAACGACGAGCACCUCGUGAAAAAGGUCCUGCUCCACGACCGCCGUCAAUCGCUCGACCCGAUGAAAGUAAAUCAGUUGAGCAACAACAGAAACCAAGUGCCAUGGAAGUGGAAACAAAGCCACACAACGGUGAUAGUCGUAAGCCGCCUACGCCGGAUAAACCGAAACAACAUGCUACUGCGGAGCAACAGAUAGUUUUAAGGUCCAAAUCUACUGAUAAGGGGAAAGUUUCAAACAUUGAAGAAAAACGCAAAUCUCUACCCGCCAAACCGUCCGAAAACUCUAAAGAAUGUGAUAAAGAAACGCCACAAAAACCAAGUUCACUUAAAGAAAAGAAUGUUCUUGAACCGAGUCCAAAGAACAUUCGCGAGAAGCAAUCGCAACAGCAGGACCCGCAGAGCCGUCUUAGUCUUAGCGAUCAAAAGCGUAAAUCCGUCGAAGAAAAACUCAAUGCCUUACUGGAAAAACAAUUGUCCAAUGCAAACGCAGAUGCGAAACAAAAUAAUGUUAUCUCGAGACAAACAUCUCGAGAUUCUAAUAGCGACAGUCCGAAAUCGAGCUCGAUAAGCAGUAGUGGAACUUUGAAGGGUAGCUGCUCCAUGGGUGAUAUAAAAACAGCGGCUGUGGCAUCUGCUGAAAGACGUAGAAGUCAAGAAUUUGAAGCUAAAAGAGAUAAUUCAAUUGAAAAUUUGUCAGACAAAUCAGACGAAGCUCUGACUCCAGUCAAAAAAGACGCGAAUGCUUUAGAUAGAACCAAAAAUAUGAGCGGCUCUGCACUGAAUGUGUCGGUUAUCACUUCAACUCCAAUUAAAAAUAAUGCACCCCGUCCGACUGGAAAAGAUAUCGUCGUUAUUACAGCUGGCGCACAAGAAGGAGAUCCACGUGCAAACACAUCAACAACGGUGCGGAUAAUGUCGGAGAGUCCUGAUCCUUCUAAUAGUUUAGCUAGCAACGUAAGUCAAGUUACAGUAGUAACAACCACGCAUCCACCGGUUCUAGUUGAUGCAGCUUCCAGUCCACCAACAGUAAGACGUGGUUCAUCCGAGGUGGUCAUAGUUUCAAACGAAACAAAUAAAACUCAGGUGAAUGAAAGCUCAGCUGAAGACGAUGGAUUUACGAGUCUAGAUAGCUUAGAGUACACACCGCAAGAACAAGCUAUUGUAAUUGGCGCUGAUCAAUCUAUUUCAAACAAAAAGAUUGGCAAGCGAUUAGACGAGUCAGAAGUAGUGAUAGUCAGUCCAAUUAUAGAUGAACAACAAUUAAUGCUACAAGAUACUAGUCAUGUAUCGGUUGUCACAGUCGGAGACGAACGCGAACAAGUUAUAGACUCGUCGCAGUUGGCUAUCACUACAGGAGAUGAUGAUAAUGCCAAACAAAUAAUGAAUGGACAAGUUCGUAUGCAUCAAAUAGAUCAAGCAGUUGCAGGCCGAUCGCCAACAAAACAGCAAACUACACCAUCGCCCAGUAGCAGUGGAAAGUCGAGGCGUAACAGUUCGGCAACUUCAACCUCUCAACAAAUCAUCAAAGAAAGCAAGCGUGUUUCGCCAGAUAGCUAUGAAAAUUCAACAACACGUUCUCAAAGUGACUCAGGUUCGACGCGGUCGCACACUCCUAGUAAGAGCAUUGAUCGAUCAGACGCUGAAUCGAUUUCCACGACUAUCAGUCAAGAUAGUCGCGGCUCAAAUAAGGAUAAUAAUACCUCCAACAACAAUAGCAACGUGAAUAAUUACGUGCAGACGGCGAAUAAUCAGCAACAGAACAAUGGCCCAUCUCCGGCAGUUGUGGCACAAAAUCACAACAGGCAUUCGCAAACGGUUGUCGAUGGUGAUGAAGAAGUGGUGCUGCGACGCAAGCCGGAGUACAUUCGUGAAAUGCCUCGCAGAACGAAAGAGGACAUCGAGAGGAUACAAAUGAUGAAUCUGAAAAAGAAAACGAGAAAACGAACGAGGAAAUUCGAAAUCGAUGGGGUUGUUGUCACAACUACCACUUCUAAGGUGAUUUACGGUGAUGACGAGAAUGGCAAAUUCUACGAUGACCAGAUUUUCCGUAAACAGGAAUUACGUGAGCUCAAAAUGCUGCAAAAAAUUGAACAGAAGCAGUUCAACGAUUUGUCGCAAAAAUCACACUUUGCUAAAGAACAACAGGAAAAGCGUAACGAGCAGGAAAGGUUGUCACUUGAGCGCCAAGCUGAAGCAGAAAUAGAAUUACAGGCACGGCAACAACGGCAACAGUUGGAUAAAGCCGAGCAACAGCAAGAAAACGAUCUUCGGCUCACGUCAAAGAAGAUUAGAGCUGAACAAGAGCGGGAACUCAAAAUAUUCAGGGAAGGUCUCAAACAAGAUCUGCGACUACUUAAGCAAGAAGUUGAUCUUAUGCCUAAGGAAAAACGUAAAAGCGUGUUCAAAGCGAGAAAGGAAAAACUCGAAGCUGAACAUGAGGAACGCGAAAAAAUUUUCUUGGAGAAGUUGAACGAGAGUCAUGAUUCAUCGCUUCGACGAUUGUCUGACAGUCACCGCGAGAAAAUUGCUCUGAUGGAGCGACAAUUCCUGCAACAAAAACAACAGCUUUUAAGAGCUCGCGAAGCUGCUAUUUGGGAACUUGAGGAACGUCAUAUUCACGAGCGUAAUCAACUGCUCAAGAGACACCUCAAAGAUUUAUUCUUCCUGCAGCGUCACCAAAUGCUUAUCAGGCAUGAAAAGGAACUUGAACAAAUGAAACGCAUGAACCAACGUAAAGAAGAGGAACUCAUCAAGCGCCAAUCGAUUGAGAGACGAAACCUGCCUAAGAGAAUAAGGAAUGAGAUGAAAGCUCGUGAAAUGAUGUUCCGAGAGUCUAUGAGAAUUUCGAUGUCAGCUGCUCUCGAUCCUGAAGCAGAACGUGAUAAGUUAAAGAAAUUCCAAGAGAAUGAAAAGAAAAGAUACCGUGCAGAACAGCAACGAUUUGAGCUGAAGCAUGCCCGUCAACUCGAGGAAAUGCGAGCUUCCAGUGAUGCAACGAUCAAAGAGCUAGAACAACUGCAGAAUGAAAAACGGAAAAUGCUUGUGGAGCAUGAGUCCAUCAAACUCAAAGAACAGGAAGAAGCGUAUGCUAAGGAAUUACGGGAAUGGAAGGCUGAACUCAAACCGCGCAAACAGAAUUUUGAAGGCGAACUUGCAAGAGAAAUGGAGGCUUUGGAGACACGUUUUAGUGGAUUUCUACCUUCGAAGAUGAGUGGCUUCUACUUGACCAACUACAGCCACAUGGACUUUUCGUUCUCAAGCCUUCCUCGACCUCCCAAAACUGAAAGCUUGAACAGACGACGUUCUACGUUACACACUGCCCCGACGUCACCUCAGUCAAAUCCAAAUACUUCUAUCGGUCCUAUUACUCCUAACACUUCUCCUGGGUUGUUUACGAUUCCCCGCGUACGCUUAAGUGGAUCGGAUUCGAGCUCACUACCUGGUGGGACACUAUCUCGUAGAGCUCAUUCUGUUUCUCCGACGUCUGACGCUAACGCUUCUUCUAAUUCUCAACGAAAGCCUGAUUCUUCAUCCUCGUCCUUCCAAAGCUAAUAUUUCUAAUUCAUCGCUUCUUGCUAACCAAAUGAUGUUGCUUCGAUGUUUUGUCUAGACAAUCGUACUUAACAAGCUAUACGUGGUUCGUUAUUCUUCAUCGAAAUAAUAAUGCUAAUUCAAAUAUUCGGGUGUACAUUAUUUAUAUUAGAAAUGAAAAAUUUCAUUUGAAGACAGAUACAACUGAUUAUUCAUUUAUAUCGUGCUUUCUUUUACGUGUCAUGCUAGUUUGAAAGUUCGAAUACUUAUUACUUGUAAAUUUUUAUUAUAAAUUAAUGUAGUAAAUUUUGUUACUACUUGUUAUUUAAAUGAAGCAAAUGCUUCGACUUGAAAUCAUUCAUUUCAAAUGUAUCAUACUGAUGUAAAACAUUAAAAUUUCAUACAUCGACAUGCCAUAUGAAAAAAUUUCGCAAUUGUAGAUAACUUUAGUUUUCUAAGUAGGUUAAACUCUUGAAACCCCCUUGUAAUUAAUUUUUGCCAGGAUACUUGCUGACUUGUUUAACUUUGAUUAAUUUCUGUAUAAAAACAGAAAUUUACAUCGUUAAAAGUCAAAAAGUAUAUCCUUUUCAAAUAAUAAAUAAAAAAAUUGAAGGAAUUGAAAAAAUUUAAAGAUAAAUUAUUUAUCAUUACAUGCAGACGUGCUAUGCUAGCUAUACAUCGUAACUGAUGUAAACGGAUGAUGACAAAUUAUCGUGGGGUUUGACUUUUCUUUGUUUAAGAAAAAAUGUCUUCGUUUGCAAUAAGCUCGAAGAACAGUUCGCUAUUCAGCUCGAAGAGCAGGAUGCAGUGCACGGACCAGGCAAUAUGCCUCUUUACCUGCCGG
rnacentral:misc_RNA from 1 species